AGUAAGGAAUAUUCUUGUCAAGGGCGUAGGUUUGGUCUAAGUUUUGGUGGGAUCUUACAACUUACUCACCAACUCACCAGCAUAUAAAAUGAAUGCUACCACUGCGUAGUAUAUUGAAAUAUUAAACUAAUCAAUGUAGAUUUUCGUUUAUUUAUUUUGUUUUUGUUAAAAAAUAUGUUUUUUGUU